AGAAGCUAUAGCUCAAGAGGCAGGAGUUAUUUCGUUAUGGUUAAUACCCGUGAUUUAUUCCUUCAUUGCAUCAUAUUCAUGCCAAAUGUUCUUACAAGCACAAAGUAAGAACAUGAUUAUUACUUACUUAGCAGUAUGUACUCUUGCCAUCCAUAUCUUCCUCUGUUGGCUUUUAACGGUCAAAUUCAAGUUUGGAAUGACUGGCGCUAUGACGUCU
rnacentral:misc_RNA from 1 species